CUUGUACUCCCUCCGUCCGAAAAUACUUGUCAUUGAAAUGGAUGUAUCUAGAUGUAUUUUAGUUCUAGACACAUCCAUUUUGAUGACAAGUAAUUCCAGAUGGAGGGAGUACUUG
rfam:Triticum aestivum genome assembly, contig: Triticum_aestivum_CS42_TGACv1_scaffold_254456_3DL